rnacentral:tRNA from 1 species
GGAUGUAACUUAGUGGUAUAGCACUUGCCUAACAUGCAUGAGGCCCUGGGUUCAAUCCCCAGUACAGCCA